AGAGCUGUAGCUCAGUGGUAGAGCAUCUACUUUGUAUGCAGAAGGUGUGAGGUUCAGUUACCAACAUCUUCA